CUUAAUUCUCAGCCUUUUGGCUAAGAUCAAGCGUAGUAUCUGUUCUCAGCUUAAUAUCUGACGCGUCCGCUCUCGGGGGACGGGACAUUAGGGGAAUUUUUAGAGCAGGGAGCGGGUCCUGGAGCUUGCUCCGUCCGCUCGGCGCAUCGCCCUGGUGUUGCAGUGCUUCCAGGAGCGGUGCCCGCCCC
ensembl:snRNA U2 U2 spliceosomal RNA